CGGGGCGUGCACGGGAGUCCGGUAGGCCGGGCUGAGAGGGAGUACUCGAACUCCGACCGUAGAACCUGAUCCGGAUCAUGCCGGCGCAGGGAGCUCCGCCGAGCGAUCG
rnacentral:ncRNA from 2 species